GAGGAAUAUUGGUCAAUGGAGGCAACUCUGAACCAGCCAUGCCGCGUGAAGGAAGAAGGCCCUAAGGGUUGUAAACUACUUGUGUACGGGGGUAAUUUUCGGAUCGUGAUCUGAAUUGAAAGUACUGUACGAAUAAGCGUCGGCUAACUACGUGCCAGCAGCCGCGGUAAUACGUAGGACGCAAGCGUUAUCCGGAUUCAUUGGGUUUAAAGGGUGCGUAGGCGGACUUUUAAGUCAGUGGUGAAAGACUGUCGCUCAACGAUAGCAUUGCCAUUGAUACUGGGAGUCUUGAGUGCAGAUGAGGUAGGCGGAAUGUGUAGUGUAGUGGUGAAAUACUUAGAUAUUACACAGAACACCGAUUGCGAAGGCAGCUUACUAAAUUGCAACUGACGCUGAGGCACGAAAGCGUGGGGAUCAAAC
rnacentral:rRNA from 1 species